AGUGAACGCUGGCGGUAGGCCUAACACAUGCAAGUCGAACGGCAGCACAGUAAGAGCUUGCUCUUACGGGUGGCGAGUGGCGGACGGGUGAGGAAUACAUCUGAAUCUACUUUUUCGUUGGGGAUAACGUAGGGAAACUUACGCUAAUACCGCAUACGACCUACGGGUUAAAGCAGGGGAUCUUCGGACCUUGCGCGAUUGAAUGAGCCGAUGUCGGAUUAGCUAGUUGGCGGGGUAAAGGCCCACCAAGGCGACGAUCCGUAGCUGGUCUGAGAGGAUGAUCAGCCACACUGGAACUGAGACACGGUCCAGACUCCUACGGGAGGCAGCAGUGGGGAAUAUUGGACAAUGGGCGCAAGCCUGAUCCAGCCAUACCGCGUGGGUGAAGAAGGCCUUCGGGUUGUAAAGCCCUUUUGUUGGGAAAGAAAAGCAGCAGGUUAAUACCCCGCUGUUCUGACGGUACCCAAAGAAUAAGCACCGGCUAACUUCGUG
rnacentral:rRNA from 1 species